UUUCACCAAGUGAUUUUAUUUUAGAAAAUUUAUACAAAGGGAGUAAUUGAAUGAGUGUGCUGAGUAAAUGUUACUGUUUGAAAACACCAAAAACUUAGAUGUCCUUUGCAGAGAACUGUUACAUGUAUCACCAUGUGAUGCUAUGGGAAUGUCAAUAAGAAGAAUGAGGUGACUGUAUUGAGAGCAGAGGUCCAAGAUACAAAAUGGGAAACAGAAGACAGACUUCACAAGUUGCAAAAUAUAACUUUUAUAUCAAAAAGUUUCUAUAUACAUACUUCAAAGUCUGGGUGUUAAAAAUGAAAGUAUACAUUAAUCCAAGAUCAUCGCCAUUUAUCAUGCUCACAGAGACUUAAUUCUCCCAAGGAUACUCAGCUAGGAAGUGCCUGUGCAAUUAUUUAGAAAGCCAAAUGAGAUGGC
rnacentral:lncRNA from 1 species